rnacentral:lncRNA from 1 species
GAGGAGUACUGAACCCUACCCAGCCCCACCACACUGGUGGGAACCGGAUCACCCCUUUGGAAUUAGGCAGUGUUGCGGGUAGGGGGCGGCCACCCCCUGCGCAUCUGUGGGUUGAGGGUGUUGCCAGCAAGGGGGUGCUGCUGGGGGCAGCAGGGUGAUGGGGUCUCAGGGCCAGCACACCAGCCAUCACCUGCCCCCACGGUCACCCCACAAAGGGGCCCCAGCUAGAAAGGAGGCACCUCAAAACCUGACCCUCUGGGGAGGCAGGGGUUAAUGCCCUUGGACAGGUGUGGGGACUGGGCAGGGCUGAGGCAGCCCUUUCAGAGCAGUUUGGCAAGAUGGGGAGGACCCCCCCACACACACCAUGAAAAAAGCAGCCCACUUCCCACCCAGAGCCCAAGGCACGUGGGGAAUGUUCCCCCUUCAAAUUCCAGUCCACAUCAAUCACCCCGUGUCCAUUCCAAGAACAUCUGGCCUGUCCCCCCCCAUCACUGCCCCGCUCCCUCCCCACCAGCCCUCUGCAGUCCCCAGGCCCUGGCGGUCAGGCCUGUGCCUAUAGAAGGGAGGGCAAGGAGGGGGCCUCCCAGGGAAGCCUGGGAGGGUGGCUCCCCCGUAUGUGGCAGUUGUCAUUUGGGGAUGAGGAGUGUUUUCAGUGCCUGUCUGCAGACCUCAGAUCCCUGGGACCCCAGAGCGGAUUUCAAGUCCUGGGUGAGGGUCUCCACUUCCCUCGCCCUGCUCCCGGCUCCCCACCUCUCCUCCAGGCCUGCUUCCCAGGCUGGGGACGGCAAGGGGGCCGGGGUAAGGCCUGUGCCAGUCGGCUUUCUGGGCAUCUUCCUGCUGGUGGGGGGGGCCCUUUGGGGACCCUUCCCUGCCUUCAGACCUGAACAGGCGCCAGCCCUGGAGAAGCUGUGGCCCAGUGCUGGGAGACAUGUGCCUGGACCUUGGAGCCCCCACAGGGUGCCCGGGUGCUGCCCGGGUGAAGACCCUGCCCUGGAUGUCAGAGGGAUGCGCCUGCUCCCAGCAGCAAGGCUGGAAGCCCGGGGACCCAGGCCCCAGCCAGACAGAAGGCCAGGACCCGACCGCAGCACCAGUCACCCAACGCCCCAGGCACCGCCAGCCCCUGACCAGUGGACCAACGUCGGCUGUAGGAGUGUGGGGCACCCGGCCCCCAAGCUGCAAGGACCCAGGCGUGACUGCUGUUGUACCAAUUUAUGUAGCGUCUGAACUAAGGACACCUUUGAAAAACAUUCUCGGUUUCUCUCUCUCUUUCUUUCCGGUGGGCAAAUCGGCCUGCAAGGGAGCACCUGCUGGGUCCCCCACAGCAAGCCCUGAAGAGUGACCUCUGUGGCUUUGGGGUCAGGACCGGGAACACAGCCCCCGCUCCUCCGCUUCCAGAGACCCUGGAUCGAGCCCGCUUUGGGGCAGCUCAGCCUGUUGCCCCCACCCCGGCUCCAUCCAGCGGUGUCAGAGGAGGCUCUGGCCGCCCCCCAGCCUUUCCACUGUCCCGCUCCGUUCCCCCAGCCGGCAGCCUCUGUCAUUACCUCGCACAGUAACCAACCGCCCUGUGACUGUCCCCCUACUUUGACACAUGGGGACACAGAGAGGUCAAACCACCCGUGUGAGGCCCCACAGCAGCAGCCCAGGGCAGGGAGGGCCGGGUCUGGCAUGUCCAGCUGAGCCCAGCUUCCCGGGGCCUCCCAGGAUUCCCCCUCAACUUGCUGGAGAUCUCUGCACGCUCCUUCCUCCAGCUCUGCCCUCACCCGUCACCCUUGACUCUCCCCUCGGCUGCCCACUCCCCCUUCCUCUGCCCUACCAGGAGCACGCCUCUGAGGACCACUCUGCCCAGGCAGCAGGGGGCCUGCCCUGCCUGCAGCUGAGCCCCCAGGAGCUGACCACUGGAACCCAGAUUCCUGCUGUGUCACCCUGAUAUGACCCUAGCCCCCUGGAGGCCCCACUCCUUGGGAAAGGGGUGAUGGCCACAGGAGCUGCCCGAGGGGGCUCUGAGCCCCGGAGGAUGGCAGGCCCCUGUCCAGAGCCUGUGGCGCUGACUGGGCACGCGGUCCUGCCUGGGAGCGUCCAGAGCACUCACCUCUGCGGGCUGGGGCCGCGGGCCUCAGUUCUGAGCAGGUGGGGAUUGAGGGCCACGGGUCACAGCAGCUGACUUCCCGGGCUGGGGUUUCUGGCCUGCUGCGGGCUCUGGCUGGGGGGCAGCCUGGGCAAAGGGCUGACCUGGCCUGGGUGUGGGGCCCUGGGGCUGGGAGCCGAAGGCCGCCUCCUCGUCCUCAAGGUGAACAGUGACUCUUCGUCCCCUGGGGGAGAGAGGGUUGUUCUUAAGAUGGUGUCUUUUAAAACAAAUCCACACGUGCACACACACAGCCAGGGCCCUGGCCCCUGCCCCUCCACUGGCUGUCAGGUGGAGAGGCCCUCGGGUCACCUUGUCAGGGUUUGGGUGACGGCUCCCCUGCCUGUCCCUCCGGCCGCCCAGCUCUGCCUUUUCUGAAGAAGGGAGGAAGAGAAGUGUCCACAGUUCCCCAGAGCUGGACUUCCCCAUGGGCAGGCCUGCAGAGGUGCCCACGGACCCAUCCAUGGGACAGGCUGCCCCGCCCUGUGGCGGACUUCUGCCUGAGCUUGGGGCCUAGUGGCUGCACACAGAGCCUGCCUCCUCUGCCCCAGCACAUCCCCACCUUGAACGGAAGCAAGGAGGGAGCCAGGCACCCACAGCUCUGCCAUGGGGAGGCAGCUGAGGGUGGUGGGAGACUGCUUCUCUGGGGAAGUGAACCCCUUCCCCACAAAUGCCACACGGGGAGUCUGGGUGGAGGGGAGGCACACUCCAUGCACAAAACAAGAAUGACCCAGGGCAGGGGAGGCUGGAGGGGUGGCCCAGGGCAAUCGGCACACUGUCAGGAACGUUCCUCUUUAGAUCCCGCUCUGGGGCCUCAAGGGGCAGCGCCCCUUCAUCGUCCUUCUCACCAUCCUUUCCAAUUACAUGGUGGGAUUCGCUGGGGGAAGGGGUGGUGUAGGGAGUGAGGACAGAGGGAAGCUUUACUUUUUACGUGGUAUGAAAAUAACUCCCCAACCCCCGGGCCUCAGCGCCCCUGCAGUGUCCUGCUUGUCUCUGGUUGGGAUCCGGUAAGGCGGGUCGCAGCCAGAGGGAACCUCUCACACAGGAAAAUUCUUUUACUUUUCCAACAGCAGCUGUGCCCUCAAGCUGAAGACAGUGGCCUUAUGCUCCAGCCCACCCCUCCCAUUUUGCCAGCUCAGAGAAGGAAAGUGUAUUUUCCAUGCAAAAGGCCCUGUGGCUCUGGGCAGCUGCCCUGAAGGGCUCCCUCCCCACCUGUCCUGUCUGCUCCAAAGUGGAAGCUCAUAGAGUCCUCUGGCAGCGCAGGCCCUCCCGCUCCUGUUAACUGCCCCCAGCCCCCUACCCCUGAGCACUCAGAAGGCAGCCUUCUUACCACCUAGAGGGCAACGUGCGGGGAAGGGACGCCCAGGCGCCUGCGCUCUAAUUGCUGCGUUGUUGCUGAAGCUCCCUGGGGUGGUGGAUAAAGAGGACCGGGAUGUCGCUGGUGCCCCAGGCUCUCUGCGGGAACUGCCGGCGCGCUGGCUGGGCCAACAGUAGCAGUUGCUGCCAAGGCAGGGGGUGCUCAGACCCUCCAGCAGGCUUGACUGGGAGGCAGAGGAG